GACGAACGCUGGCGGCGUGCUUAACACAUGCAAGUCGAACGGAAAGGCCCUGCUUUUGUGGGGUGCUCGAGUGGCGAACGGGUGAGUAACACGUGAGUAACCUGCCCUUGACUUUGGGAUAACUUCAGGAAACUGGGGCUAAUACCGGAUAGGAGCUCCUGCUGCAUGGUGGGGGUUGGAAAGUUUCGGCGGUUGGGGAUGGACUCGCGGCUUAUCAGCUUGUUGGUGGGGUAGUGGCUUACCAAGGCUUUGACGGGUAGCCGGCCUGAGAGGGUGACCGGCCACAUUGGGACUGGGAUACGGCCCAGACCCCCACGGGAGGCAGGAGUGGGGAAUAUUGCACCAUGGGCGGAAGCCUGAUGCAGCAACGCCGCGUGCGGGAUGACGGCCUUCGGGUUGUAAACCGCUUUCGCCUGUGACGAAGCGUGAGUGACGGUAAUGGGUAAAGAAGCACCGGCUAACUACGUG
rnacentral:rRNA from 1 species